GCCCGGCUAGUUCAAUGGCAGAACGUCUGACUUCUACAUUUAACAAUGCAGUAAGCCAGUCCAUCAGAAGGUUGCGGGUUCGAGUCCCGCGUCGGGUU